AGAUGCUAUGUGAUUGUCGAGAUAAACGUUGCGCGGCGAGUUACAAACUGCAGACGAAGAGGGAAGGAGCACUUGUUUAGACAGAUAAAAUUUUUCGUUAGCCAUUCAUUCUGCUUAUAAAAUACGGACCUUAAAAAGGAGGGACGGAGAGCAGGACAAGUUGUCCAAUCUUCAACUUAAUGUUUUCAUCGACAGUGAUGCAAUCGAAUAGAUCCACAAUAAACAUUGUAGGCACAUAUUAGAGUAACUUACCUCGCUAGCAGCAACUUGGGAGACCUGUCCAUUCAAUCACAAUUAAGAACAAUGUUGCAGGACUAACUACCGACGACUAAUGAAAUAAACAAUCCAACUCUAGUAUCAUUUAAUUUGUAGGAUUGUAGUAGCGGUUUUUUGGCACGUUUUAGUGAAUUCACACGUGCGUUUAUUGAACCGGCAAUAACCUAUUUGUUUAGAUCAUUGAAUGGCCGGUGGUAUUGUUUAUAAUGAGGUCUGGUCACGGAACACCAGACUCGCGAUAUAAUCUCCCUUGGUUCGUACGCCAAUGAAGGAACUACAGCCUAUUCAAAAUUACCCAAGACAAUAACAACAAGCAAGAUGACGAUGGAUAUCAGUUAGUACAGCCGAAACGGCGAAGAAGCAGAACUUUUAUUGAAGGAACAAACACAACAAGCAGAAUACGAGGAGUUGAGAAGAAAGCUUGGAUAAAUGUAACAAGGUUGGCUAAAUCCACAUCAGCACAGAUUGAAGAAAACUUAUCUGAUAUCUGCAGAGUAAAUUGUGAAAAACUUAACUUUAACCACAACGAACAGUGGAACGGAAACUUAUUUCUUUCCUAACAAAAAUAGCAGACGGUAUUGGUAUUGGUAUUGGUAUUAAAGGGGGGCGCCCUCGCGGGCGUCCAAGCACUUAGGCCACCAGAUGGGCCCGUUAUGCCCCCAGGCCGCUCUAGAGGGCGUCCAGAAUGCCGCCCCUCCUGUAGAAGGUCAGCAACUCCUUUAGCCCAAUACCGUGCACUGAGUCCGGAUCGAUCAGGGCCGUUCCGAAGACUCCCAAUCUUGCCCAUGUCAAGGCAGGGCACUCGGUGAGCAGAUGAUACGGGGUCUCCUCCCCUUCCAUGCACCACCUACACUCCGGGUCGUCUCCAAUGCCUAGCAAGCAGAGAUGCCUCCUAAGCCUGCAAUGUCCUGUGUAGGCCCCUGUUAGUGCUCUACACUCCCUCCUGGUCAGUCUAAGCAGCUCCCUGGUCCGAGGAAGGGCGGGCCCAUCCAUCAUAAGCCUCGCCUGCCUGAGCAGAC